UACGGAGGGAGCUAGCGUUGUUCGGAAUUACUGGGCGUAAAGCGCGCGUAGGCGGCUUUGUAAGUUAGAGGUGAAAGCCCGGGGCUCAACCCCGGAAUUGCCUUUAAGACUGCAUCGCUUGAAUCCGGGAGAGGUGAGUGGAAUUCCGAGUGUAGAGGUGAAAUUCGUAGAUAUUCGGAAGAACACCAGUGGCGAAGGCGGCUCACUGGACCGGCAUUGACGCUGAGGUGCGAAAGCGUGGGGAGCAAACCGG
rnacentral:rRNA from 1 species